rnacentral:rRNA from 1 species
UACGGAGGGUGCAAGCGUUAUCCGGAUUCACUGGGUUUAAAGGGUGCGUAGGAGGGCAGGUAAGUCAGUGGUGAAAUCUUGGGGCUUAACCCCGAAACUGCCGUUGAUACUAUCUGUCUUGAAUCCCGUGGAGAUGAGCGGAAUAUGUCAUGUAGCGGUGAAAUGCUUAGAUAUGACAUAGAACACCAAUUGCGAAGGCAGCUCGUUACACGAAGAUUGACUCUGAGGCACGAAAGCGUGGGGAUCAAACAGG